rnacentral:rRNA from 1 species
AUGCACGCAUGUGAGAGCCGAGCCGCGGGAUUGCAUGUUGCGGGCUGCAACACCACGAGUGCUGGACUGCAGGAGAGCAUGAUGUGCGGCCCGCACCGCUGCACUAAGAAUCCAGCGCCCCCGCCCCGUUGCCUAGUCCAGCACCACAACGACGACCAACGACUUCAGAAGAAAGAAGGAGGCGCGGGGAAUUUGGAGGCCAGGACCUCACCCACCUCCAGGCACCUUUUUUUGGUGUUGUACUUCAACGAGAGGGAGAGAGAGCUGCAGUCGCCCAUACUAUGGACUACAAGUAUGCACCACAAGCCUCGUGGCGGAAUUGCAUGGUGCCAUCCGAACUGCAAGGGCCGCUCCACUACCACGGCGAUGUCCGUGCAGGUUGACAGGGUAGAAAUCGCCAAGGAUUUGCAGCUCGUCGUGAGGGAGCUGUUUUUGCUGGGAGAGGACAAUAACAGGGCGGGGGAGGCGGACGCGGUGGCCAUGGGAAUGCGAUGGUGGCCGAUGCAGGAGCUUCACGCGCCGUAG